GUUUGAGCAAGAGAGACAGAAAAGAACAUGAUGAAUGGAAGAAAAUAGAGAAGGUAAAGAUAAAAAGAGAAAAAGGGAGAUACCAAGAAACCCACCAGUGGGUUUAGAAAAAUAGAAAGUAACAAUUUUAAAAGAAGGCCUAGGGUUUUAGGUGUGGAGUAUCUGUCUCAUUGGAGUUAUAAAAGACCAAAUAAGGCAAGAGAAGA
rnacentral:misc_RNA from 1 species